UAGCUAAAUGCGGAAGAGAUAAGUGCUGAAAGCAUCUAAGCACGAAACUUGCCCCGAGAUGAGUUCUCCCUGAGACUAUAAGUCUCCUGAAGGAACGUUGAAGACGACGACGUUGAUAGGUCGGGUGUGUAAGUGUAGCGAUACAUUGAGCUAACCGAUACUAAUGAACCGUGAGGCUUAACCUUACAACGCCGAAG
rnacentral:rRNA from 1 species